rnacentral:rRNA from 1 species
CAACGCUGGCGGCGUGCCUAACACAUGCAAGUCGAACGAGAAAGGGACUUCGGUCCUGAGUAUAGUGGCGCACGGGUGAGUAACACGUGAAUAAUCUACCUCCGAGUGGGGAAUAACCUGGAGAAAUCUAGGCUAAUACCGCAUAACACUUACGAGUCAAAGCAGCAAUGCGCUUGGAGAGGAGUUCGCGGCCGAUUAGUUAGUUGGCGGGGUAAUGGCCCACCAAGACGAUGAUCGGUAUCCGGCCUGAGAGGGCGCACGGACACACUGGAACUGAAACACGGUCCAG